UCUGCUGUAUUUACCCAUCUGAUGUGUGCUAGAAGUAUUAACCAAAGAAAGGGGAUCAUUGUUUUCUUGAAAUUUGAAGCAAAAUUGAGACAUCAAGCAAGUCUCUUCAUAAGAAAGAAUAUAGGAAGGACAAGGUGGAGUGUGAAAAGGUGAGAGGAGGUUCCUGCCUACUGGCCUAUUCUUUAAGCAAAGAUGUGUUGAUUUCUUUAUUACAACUGUAUAAGAUUGUUUGUUUUUAAUUCCAGCCAACUAAUACUGCUUUAUUUAUCACUUGUUGACUAAGACUUGAAGAAACUUUUUAGCUGUUCAAGUUUCCACAUCUAAGCAUUUGUCAAUUUCCGCCCAUUAAUCUACCAACUACUGUUUUCAUGGGCAUUUUGCAUCAUCAUUGUCCUUAAUGACCACUUUCAUUUACAUAUCCUAGUGUUAAAAAGUGACUAUUAACAUCGAUCUAGGUGUCUUUUCCUUCCUUUAAAAGAAGGCAACAUACACAAUUACUGUAAUCCCCACAAUUACUAGAUGCCCCUCCAGAAAAGAGAUUACAACUUGACUUGCAAUACAUACCCCCAAAAAAUGAAGAAAAAUAACCAUCUUUUAUCCCAUGGUCACUAACUUUACCAAUCCUCAAGGGAAGUAUCAGAUAGGAACAAGAUUUUAAGGGCAGGCCGGUGUACAAAUCAUCACGCAUUAGCAGGGUCCGGAGAAGGGCCACACUCAAAAGGAAUGUGAUGUAAAUAACCUACCUUAAUGCAAGCAUUAAUGACUACUUCGGCCUAGUUUUAAAUAUUUAUAAGAAAGAAUAUAGGAAGGACAAGGUGGAGUGUGAAAAGGUGAGAGGAGGUUCCUGCCUACUGGCCUAUUCUUUAAGCAAAGAUGUGUUGAUUUCUUUAUUACAACUGUAUAAGAUUGUUUGUUUUUAAUUCCAGCCAACUAAUACUGCUUUAUUUAUCACUUGUUGACUAAGACUUGAAGAAACUUUUUAGCUGUUCAAGUUUCCACAUCUAAGCAUUUGUCAAUUUCCGCCCAUUAAUCUACCAACUACUGUUUUCAUGGGCAUUUUGCAUCAUCAUUGUCCUUAAUGACCACUUUCAUUUACAUAUCCUAGUGUUAAAAAGUGACUAUUAACAUCGAUCUAGGUGUCUUUUCCUUCCUUUAAAAGAAGGCAACAUACACAAUUACUGUAAUCCCCACAAUUACUAGAUGCCCCUCCAGAAAAGAGAUUACAACUUGACUUGCAAUACAUACCCCCAAAAAAUGAAGAAAAAUAACCAUCUUUUAUCCC
rnacentral:lncRNA from 1 species